rnacentral:lncRNA from 1 species
GUAUACCCUGUUUUAUCCUUGUUGUUGGUGUUUCUUGCGCAUGCGCACAAAGCACGGUGAUAGUUACGGUUACUGACUCAGGAACCUUGUAUAUUAUAUACGUUUAAUAAACUGGAUCCUUGUUGUGUUCAGUUAUCGAUACACUACGAUGGAAUUACGGACCAGUUUAACAUAAACAUGGUAAAUAGAUAGACAGCUGAUAAUCAUAAUUGAUUAAGAAAUAACCUGGAAGAAGAAAUGAGUUAACUAUUGAUUAUAAACAGAGACGAGAAUGCCAUCGUGUUUGUUCUGCUAAAAAAAGCAGGAACAUUGGAGUUUAUGGUUAGAUUUUAAAUAUUUAUUGUCUCCAAACUGGGUAAAUUUGAUAUAGUAACAACCCCCCCCCUUUUUUUUAAAUAACUCGAGAACCACACAUCUCGCUCUCGCUUAACAAAGUAACAAUAAGAAAUAAUUAUUGUUAGUUUCAAGAAUAAUUAAUCGUCAAAACUUAUCCCCUCCCCGACAUCAAAGGAAGUUAAAUGUAUUAUCCCAAAAUUAGACCAAAUUAUUAUGAUAUAAGGACGUCUUGACAGGCUAUUAUUUUAUUUUGUUUUGUUGGGUUUUUUUUUUUGCUUUGACGUCUUCCUCCUGUAUGAAAAAAACAUAAUAGACCCCCCCCCCCUUUUUCCCCAUAAUAUAGCUUUUUAAGAAGUCAUAAUUAUUUGGACUACCCCUGAAUAUAUUUCAGACAGACUCUUCUCUAAAAAAAUGUAAACAUGAUUUGAGAGAAAUCUUUGGAAUAGUUUUUUAAAUGAUUUAAUUAUUAUGUCAUGUAUAUAAUUAACAUUAACAUAGUUAUAAACUGAGACUACUAGUAUAACACAUAGUGUUAUAGUAGUCUCAGCUAUAAACUUUCCAUUGUAUUGACCAAUAUGACUAACUCAUAUGCUCUUUCCCAUAAAUGUCACAAUAUCAAUAUAUUACAGUAAAACUGAUAGUUUGAUGACAUUGUUUAAGACUAUUGACCUCAGGUCAGCCUAAACUGAGUUUAAAACUGUAAUUUAUUCAUUAAAACAGUUCAAGACAUGUACCUUCUGAAAUGUGAUUGCAUCAAAAUUAAACCUAAGCAUAAGCAUAACAUACUUAGUGUGCAGGAAGUGCCACCAAAUAAAUACUGAUUUGUAAAAUUAGAUGAUGAUAUUUGUGAAGUCAAAGAUAUUAUAGCUAGUUAUAACUGGUUUUAGAUAUAAAUCUGAGUAAAAGGUUGAUUUAUAUGUGCUCUUUCAUGUUUAGAUUAUAAUUUAAAUUUAAUCUUUUGAAGUUUUUUUUAUAAUAUUAAGACAUUAAAAUCACAAUUAUUUAUUUAUACACAAAAAAAUAAUUUUUUGUCCUUUUUUAGUUGAAUGACUGUACACAAACAUUAUACACACAUAAUUUUGAUAAUUCUGUAAUGUUUUUUUUUUCUAUAGCCCCAGAAUGUGACAAAAGACUUAUUAAUCCAGAUUUACAAAAAAUAGAAAUAGUUCAGCUACCAUAAGACUGCUAUGACAAAAAUUUUGCAGUUUCCAGAAUUUGAGGUAGAGUAUAGUUAGGAAUAGUUUGAUUAUGCAGAUGCUUAGUUUGCCAUAAACAAUUAUGCCCUUGAUACAAAAGCAGAGGAAACAAAAAAGUAUGAAAAUAGUUGAAAAAAGUAAUCAUUAUUACCUAGUCAUAUACUGUAAAUAGAAAAAGAGAAAAGCACUGGUUAUGAUUUGGUAUUUUUAAUAGCAUUAUCAUUUGUCCAUAACUUGGAAUAUAUACUGGAUUGAGCUUGACAUUUAUUUAAUAUCAUUGACACAUGGUUGCAAGAAAUGAAAGAUGGUAAUUUAAACCUAGCAAUUUUAUUAAGAUUUAAAAAAAAAGCUUUUGAUUUGGUAGAAUAUGACUUUCUUUGUUUAAAGCUCGACAUGUAUGGAUUUAGUGAGACUACUGUUAGUUUUUUUAAGUCGUACCUGAAUAACAAAAGGUAUACAUUUGUAAUGUUAACUCUGAACAACAACAUGUAAAAUUUGGUGUUCCCCAAUGUUCUAUACCUUGUCCUCUAUUGUUUGUGCUAUUUAUAAAUGACCUUCCCUUAUGCAUUAAAAAUUGUGAAACAGACCUAUAUCGUUGUUGUAUAUGCUGAUGAUGACACCACUAUUCAUAAAUCAGGGGGAAACAUCUAGAAAAUAUAAAUGAUGAUGUUCAAGAAGAUUUAUACAGGGUUGAAGAGUGGUGUAAAAUGAAUAACAUGUUCAUAGAUGCAAAUGAAACAAAAUGUUUGAUUACUGGAACAAAGCAGAAACUAUUCAGACUUUUCAACCAAACUUGAUAAUAAAUUAAAGUAUUACAAAAUUCUUCAUGUGAAAAAAAUAUUAGUUUCAAAAUUGACAGCCCACUAAGUAACUGGAGAAAUCAAAUUGACCAAGGUUGUGCUAAUAUAUCAUCCAGAAUAUACCAUCUUUCUUAAAUACAUUUUUUUUUUAUAUAACUGCAAGAAAACAUAAUACAAUGGGUGUUCUGCCCCUAAUUGACUACUGUUGUAUUAUUUGGGAUGAAUGUAAAAAUUGAGGGAUAACAAGAAUUUUAAAAAUCCAAAAAAAGGGCAGCAUGAUAAAUUCUAGAUGCAGAUCCGUUAUCCCUCUUGGUAUAUAGGAGCACUAUAUUCUAUGUUAACCUCCGACAGUAGGUAUAAACAAAUACUGUUGAUAGACGGUAUAUAGGAGCACUAUAUUCCAUGUUAACCACCGACGGUAGGUAUAGACAAAUACUGGUGAUAGACGGUAUAUAGGAGCACUAUAUUGUAUGUUAACCACCGACGGUAGGUAUAGACAAAUACUGUUGAUAGACGGUAUAUAGGAGCACUAUAUUGUAUGUUAACUACCGACGGUAGGUAUAGACAAAUACUGUUGAUAGACGGUAUAUAGGAGCACUAUAUUGUAUGUUAACUACCGACAGUAGGUAUAGACAAAUACUGUUGAUAGACGGUAUAUAGGAGCACUAUAUUGUAUGUUAACCACCGACGGUAGGUAUAGACAAAUACUGUUGAUAGACGGUAUAUAGGAGCACUAUAUUGUAUGUUAACUACCGACGGUAGGUAUAGACAAAUACUGUUGAUAGACGGUAUAUAGGAGCACUAUAUUGUAUGUUAACUACCGACAGUAGGUAUAGACAAAUACUGUUGAUAGACGGUAUAUAGGAGCACUAUAUUGUAUGUUAACCACCGACGGUAGGUAUAGACAAAUACUGUUGAUAGACGGUAUAUAGGAGCACUAUAUUGUAUGUUAACUACCGACGGUAGGUAUAGACAAAUACUGUUGAUAGACGGUAUAUAGGAUCAAUAUAUAUUGUAUGUUAACUACCGACGGUAGGUAUAGACAAAUACUGUUGAUAGACGGUAUAUAUAGGAGCACUAUAUUGUAUGUUAACCACCGACAGUAGGUAUAGACAAAUACUGUGAUAGACGGUAUAUAUAGGAGCAACUACCGACAGGUAGGUAUAGACAAUACUGUUGAUAGACGGUAUAUAUAGGAGCACUAUAUUGUAUGUUAACCACCGACGGUAGGUAUAGACAAAUACUGUUGAUAGACGGUAUAUAGGAGCACUAUAUUGUAUGUUAACUACCGACAGUAGGUAUAGACAAAUACUGUUGAUAGACGGUAUAUAGGAGCACUAUAUUGUAUGUUAACUACCGACGGUAGGUAUAGACAAAUACUGUUGAUAGACGGUAUAUAGGAGCACUAUAUUGUAUGUUAACUACCGACGGUAGGUAUAGACAAAUACUGUUGAUAGACGGUAUAUAGGAGCACUAUAUUGUAUGUUAACCACCGACGGUAGGUAUAGACAAAUACUGUUGAUAGACGGUAUAUAGGAGCACUAUAUUGUAUGUUAACUACCGACGGUAGGUAUAGACAAAUACUGUUGAUAGACGGUAUAUAGGAGCACUAUAUUGUAUGUUAACCACCGACGGUAGGUAUAGACAAAUACUGUUGAUAGACGGUAUAUAGGAGCACUAUAUUGUAUGUUAACCACCGACGGUAGGUAUAGACAAAUACUGUUGAUAGACGGUAUAUAGGAGCACUAUAUUGUAUGUUAACUACCGACAGUAGGUAUAGACAAAUACUGUUGAUAGACGGUAUAUAGGAGCACUAUAUUGUAUGUUAACCACCGACGGUAGGUAUAGACAAUACUGUUGAUAGACGGUAUAUAGGAGCACUAUAUUGUAUGUUAACUACCGACGGUAGGUAUAGACAAAUACUGUUGAUAGACGGUAUAUAGGAGCACUAUAUUGUAUGUUAACUACCGACGGUAGGUAUAGACAAAUACUGUUGAUAGACGGUAUAUAGGAGCACUAUAUUGUAUGUUAACUACACCGACGGUAGGUAUAGACAAAUACUGUUGAUAGACGGUAUAUAGGAGCACUAUAUUGUAUGUUAACUACCGACAGUAGGUAUAGACAAAAUACUGUUGAUAGACGGUAUAUAGGAGCACUAUAUUGUAUGUUAACCACCGACGGUAGGUAUAGACAAAUACUGUUGAUAGACGGUAUAUAGGAGCACUAUAUUGUAUGUUAACCACCGACGGUAGGUAUAGACAAAUACUGUUGAUAGACGGUAUAUAGGAGCACUAUAUUGUAUGUUAACUACCGACAGUAGGUAUAGACAAAUACUGUUGAUAGACGGUAUAUAGGAGCACUAUAUUGUAUGUUAACUACCGACAGUAGGUAUAGACAAAUACUGUUGAUAGACGGUAUAUAGGAGCACUAUAUUGUAUGUUAACUACCGACGGUAGGUAUAGACAAAUACUGUUGAUAGACGGUAUAUAGGAGCACUAUAUUGUAUGUUAACCACCGACGGUAGGUAUAGACAAAUACUGUUGAUAGAUGGUAUAUAGGAAGCAACUACCGACAGUAGGUAUAGACAAAUACUGUUGAUAGACGGUAUAUAGGAGCACUAUAUUGUAUGUUAACCACCGACGGUAGGUAUAGACAAAUACUGUUGAUAGACGGUAUAUAGGAGCACUAUAUUGUAUGUUAACUACCGACAGUAGGUAUAGACAAAUACUGUUGAUAGACGGUAUAUAUAGGAGCACUAUAUUGUAUGUUAACCACCGACGGUAGGUAUAGACAAAUACUGUUGAUAGACGGUAUAUAGGAGCACUAUAUUGUAUGUUAACUACCGACGGUAGGUAUAGACAAAUACUGUUGAUAGACGGUAUAUAGGAGCACUAUAUUGUAUGUUAACUACCGACAGUAGGUAUAGACAAAUACUGUUGAUAGACGGUAUAUAGGAGCACUAUAUUGUAUGUUAACCACCGACGGUAGGUAUAGACAAAUACUGUUGAUAGACGGUAUAUAGGAGCACUAUAUUGUAUGUUAACUACCGACAGGUAGGUAUAGACAAAUACUGUUGAUAGACGGUAUAUAGGAGCACUAUAUUGUAUGUUAACCACCGACGGUAGGUAUAGACAAAUACUGUUGAUAGACGGUAUAUAGGAGCACUAUAUUGUAUGUUAACUACCGACGUAGGUAUAGACAAAAUACUGUUGAUAGACGGUAUAUAGGAGCACUAUAUUGUAUGUUAACUACCGACAGUAGGUAUAGACAAAUACUGUUGAUAGACGGUAUAUAGGAGCACUAUAUUGUAUGUUAACUACCGACGGUAGGUAUAGACAAAUACUGUUGAUAGACGGUAUAUAGGAGCACUAUAUUGUAUGUUAACCACCGACGGUAGGUAUAGACAAAUACUGUUGAUAGACGGUAUAUAGGAGCACUAUAUUGUAUGUUAACCACCGACGGUAGGUAUAGACAAAUACUGUUGAUAGACGGUAUAUAGGAGCACACUAUAUUGUAUGUUAACCACCGACGGUAGGUAUAGACAAAUACUGUUGAUAGACGGUAUAUAGGAGCACUAUAUUGUAUGUUAACCCGACGGUAGGUAUAGACAAAUACUGUUGAUAGACGGUAUAUAGGAGCACUAUAUUGUAUGUUAACCACCGACGGUAGGUAUAGACAAAUACUGUUGAUAGACGGUAUAUAGGAGGACUGUAUUGUAUGUUAACCACCGACGGUAGGUAUAGACAAAUACUGUUGAUAUACGGUAUAUAGGAGUAUUGUAUUUUAUGUCAAACAUCGACGAUAGGUAUGGACAAAAUCCGACAAAUACUGUAUACAGACAGUGUAUAGAAGUACUGUAUUGUAUGGUAAACACUGACGGUUGGUAUGGACAAUUUCUGUAUCAUGCAUCAAUUGUAAAUAAAAGUAUCAUGUGAGUGACACAGGCUCAUUGAAGCCUCUAGUUUUGAUAUUAUUAAUGUGGAGAUCUGGUCUAAUUUAUCAUUUUCUCUAUUACAUGCAUGAUAACUGCAACAAUUGAAUUGAAAUAAAAGUGAUAAUAUUUCUGUUGUAGGUUAUCAAGAUUUAGUGUUUCCAUACAAGUGACAAAGAUUGAACAACAAAAACAUCUCAAACUUUACAGGACAGAGUAGACUUUUUUCACUGUGCUUAGUUUUGUCUUUAUGUCUAAAUUAUGAUACCUUUAAAAAACCAAUAAAAUAUGGAAU